rnacentral:rRNA from 1 species
CAGCAGCCGCGGUAAAACGAAGGGUGCAAGCGUUGAUCGGAAUUACUGGGCGUAAAGCGUGCGUAGGCGGUUUGUUAAGUCUGCUGUGAAAUCCCCGGGCUCAACCUGGGAAUGGCAGUGGAUACUGGCAAGCUAGAGUGUGCCAGAGGAUGGUGGAAUUCCCGGUGUAGCGGUGAAAUGCGUAGAGAUCGGGAGGAACAUCAGUGGCGAAGGCGGCCAUCUGGGACAACACUGACGCUGAGGCACGAAAGCGUGGGGAACAAACAGGAUUAGAUACCCGGGUAGUCCCUGUCUCUUAUAC